UACGGAGGGUGCAAGCGUUAUCCGGAUUCACUGGGUUUAAAGGGUGCGUAGGAGGGCAGGUAAGUCAGUGGUGAAAUCUCCAAGCUUAACUUGGAAACUGCCGUUGAUACUAUCUGUCUUGAAUAUGGUGGAGGUGAGCGGAAUAUGUCAUGUAGCGGUGAAAUGCUUAGAUAUGACAUAGAACACCGAUUGCGAAGGCAGCUCGCUAGGCCUAUAUUGACUCUGAGGCACGAAAGCGUGGGGAUCAAACAGG
rnacentral:rRNA from 1 species